AACGAACGCUGGCGGCAGGCCUAACACAUGCAAGUCGAGCGAGGUAGCAAUACCUAGCGGCGGACGGGUGAGUAACGCGUGGGAACGUACCCUUUGCUACGGAAUAGCCCCGGGAAACUGGGAGUAAUACCGUAUGUGCCCUUGGGGGAAAGAUUUAUCGGCAAAGGAUCGGCCCGCGUUUGGAUUAGGUAGUUGGUGGGGUAAUGGCCUACCAAGCCGACGAUCCAUAGCUGGUUUGAGAGGAUGAUCAGCCACACUGGGACUGAGACACGGCCCAGACUCCUACGGGAGGCAGCAGUGGGGAAUCUUAGACAAUGGGCGCAAGCCUGAUCUAGCCAUGCCGCGUGAGUGAUGAAGGCCUUAGGGUUGUAAAGCUCUUUCAGAUGGGAAGAUAAUGACGGUACCAUCAGAAGAAGCCCCGGNUAACUCCGUG
rnacentral:rRNA from 1 species